rnacentral:lncRNA from 1 species
UCACCCUGCUUCCUACUGAUGUGACACAAAUCUCUGUUCUGUCCUCCUUUGUUUUGGGCUGAUAAAAGCAAAAGAUUCCACACCUAACUCCCUUGAUGCUCUGAAACUCUGUUUGGGUUGCCUAAAGCAUUGACCUUCUUUGAUGGCUGACUUCUCCUUGUAUCCAUGGAGAAAUCCUGCACACUUCUCUUGCCUCUUUUCUUCCUAUAGCUAUAAUUUUUUUUUAAAUCUCUUUUGCUCUAAUAUCUCCUACAAUCAACUUUUUAAAACUAUCAUAACUG